UACGGAGGGUGCAAGCGUUAAUCGGAAUUACUGGGCGUAAAGCGCACGCAGGUGGCUGAGUCAGUCGAUUGUGAAAGCCCUGGGCUUAACCUGGGAAUUGCAGUCGAUACUACUCAGCUAGAGUAUGGGAGAGGGCAGUGGAAUUCCCGGUGUAGCGGUGAAAUGCGUAGAUAUCGGGAGGAACAUCAGUGGCGAAGGGCGGCUGCCUGGCCCAAUACUGACACUCGAGGUGCGAC
rnacentral:rRNA from 1 species